UUAGCUUCUUUCACCUUUCCC
rnacentral:miRNA from 1 species